rnacentral:rRNA from 1 species
CCUACGGGUGGCAGCAGUGAGGAAUAUUGGUCAAUGGGCGCGAGCCUGAACCAGCCAAGUAGCGUGAAGGAUGACUGCCCUACGGGUUGUAAACUUCUUUUAUAAAGGAAUAAAGUGAGGCACGUCUGCCCUUUUGUAUGUACUUUAUGAACAAGGAUCGGCUAACUCCGUGCCAGCAGCAGCGGUAAUACGGAGGAUCUGAGCGUUAUCCGGAUUUAUUGGGUUGAAAGGGUGCGUAGGCUGUGAGGUAAGUCAGCGGUGAAAUGCCCCCGCUCAACGGGGUGAAGUGCCAUUGAUACUGCAUUGCUGGAAUGCGGAUGCGGUGGGAGGAAUGUGUGGUGUAGCGGUGAAAUGCAUAGAUAUCACACAGAACACCGGUUGCGAAGGCAUCUCACGAAUCCGCGAUUGACGCUGAUGCACGAAAGCGUGGGUAUCAAACAGGAUUAGAUACCCGGGUAGUC